UUGGUGGUGCCGUGCCAUUGGUCGUGCAGCCAGGUUCCCUUCUGGCUUGCAUUUCUUAUCCAAAGCAAAGCAAUGAACACUCUAAUUCCCACUUCUCCUUGCAACUUCUGCGAAAUCCCAAGCUUCUUUUCCCAUAGAGCCGCCAUUUCCCUAAAGCUUUCUGCCAUAAAAAUCAACCACAGAUUACGCGCCAAUUCCAACGACCUGAAAACCCAGGCAGUAGAGGAACCGAAAGAAGAAGAAAAUGGGAUUGCAGUCGAACCCCAGCAGCAAACCAAGGAAUCCCCUGCUCCUGCACUCGAUAAAGACCUCAAGAAGGUUGUUCAAAAGACUGCUGCAACAUUCGCACCAAGGGCCUCUACUGCCUCAAAAAAUCCUGCUGUACCUGGAACUACUUUAUAUACUGUCUUUGAGGUUCAAGGCUAUGCCUCAAUGUUGUUAGGCGGUGUUCUAUCUUUCAAUCUUUUAUUCCCCUCAAACGAACCAGAUAUAUGGAGAUUAAUGGGAAUGUGGUCAAUAUGGAUGUUCACAAUACCUUCGCUUCGGGCACGAGACUGCUCAAAAAAUGAGAAAGAAGCUCUCAACUACCUGUUUCUCCUCAUCCCAUUACUCAACGUUAUAAUUCCAUUUUUCUUGAAGUCUUUUGCAGUCGUCUGGUCAGCUGAUACCUUAGCCUUUUUCGGAAUGUAUGCUUGGAAGUUGGGAUGGUUCCAGAGAACAGACUUGGACUCCGAAUAAUUGAUUCAAAACUUUCGGAUUCGAAUCGAAACUUUUAGAAAAUUCUAAUGUAUAGAAGAUAAUGGUAGUGUUAUUUGAGAUCUGAUCGAAGUAUUUAUAUUCUCUAGGAUCGGUGCAGUGUUUGGGUCGAAGAGAUGAGAUGAGUUGAGAUAUAAACUCAACUCAUUAUUUGGGAAGUCAAUUUCAUAUGUCUUCAUUUUAUACCAUGUCCACCAGCAGUACACUCAACUUUCAUCACCACCGAUAUCGUGGUGCUCAACUUCGGUGACCACCUUUGACGGCCAACUCUGGUAACCAUUGCCUGUGAUCAACUUUGGCAACAUUCAACCACAACUGUUGACGGCUAACUCCAAUGACCAUCGAUAGUGGUCACUCCACCAAAUCCAAUGACCAUUAUUUUAAAUUAUGAUUAUUACAAAUUUGGCAUUUGUUAACACGCGAGUUUUUUGUUCUAUCGACGUUUGUGAUAUAAACCCAUCACAAAACCUUAAUUUAAAGCUUAAAAAUAACAAUUAAUUUAAAAAUGCAUAUAAAACAUCAUUGAA